rnacentral:snoRNA from 1 species
CUGCCUCUGGCUGUCAGUUCCAUUCCAGUGCUACAGGAGUUCCAGCACCACGUGACUGACUGACUGGUGGCUUUCAGUUUUACGUCUUGGAGACAAAG